rnacentral:rRNA from 1 species
ACACGUAGGAGGCAAACGUUAUCCGGAUUCACUGGGCGUAAAGCGCGUGCAGGUGGUUUCGUAAGUAGGGCGUGAAAGCUCCCGGCUCAACUGGGAGAGGCCGUACUAAACUGCGGAGCUAGAGGAUGGUAGAGGGAGGUGGAAUUCCAGGUGUAGUGGUGAAAUGCGCAGAUAUCUGGAGGAACACCAGUGGCGAAGGCGGCCUCCUGGACCAUACCUGACACUCAGACGCGAAAGCUAGGGUAGCAAACGGAAUUAGAGACUCCGGUAGUCCUAGCCCUAAACGAUGCAGACUAGGCGUCGGCGGUUUAAUCACCGUCGGUGUCCAAGCUAACGCGAUAAGUCUGCCGCCUGAGGACUACGGCCGCAAGGCUAAA